CCUACGGGAGGCAGCAGUGGGGAAUAUUGCACAAUGGGGGAAACCCUGAUGCAGCGACGCCGCGUGAGGGAAGAAGGAUCUCGGUAUGUAAAGCUCUUUCAGUAGAGAAGAAAAUGACGGUACCUGACUAAGAAGCACCGGCUAACUACGUGCCAGCAGCCGCGGUAAUACGGAGGGUGCAAGCGUUAUCCGGAUUCACUGGGCGUAAAGGGGGCGUAGGCGGGACAACAAGUCAGGUGUGAAAUCCCAGGGCUUAACCCCGGAACUGCUUUGGAAACUGUGCGGCUAGAGUGUAGGAGGGGUAGGCGGAAUUCUUGGUGUAGCGGUGAAAUGCGUAGAUAUUAGGAGGAAUACUGAUGGCGAAGGCGGCUUACUAGACUAUAACUGACGUUGAGGCACGAAAGCGUGGGGAGCAAACAGGAUUAGAUACCCCGGUAGUC
rnacentral:rRNA from 1 species